GUUGGCACUCUAUGUCUAUGAGUAUCUGCUUCAUGUGGGAGCCCAGAAGUCAGCCCAGACCUUCCUGUCGGAGAUCCGGUGGGAGAAGAAUAUUACAUUGGGGGAGCCCCCAGGGUUUCUUCAUUCCUGGUGGUGUGUAUUCUGGGACCUGUACUGUGCAGCCCCUGACCGACGAGAGACCUGUGAGCAUUCUAGUGAAGCCAAGGCUUUUCAUGACUAC